CCUUGUACACACCGCCCGUCAAGUCAUGGGAGUUGGGAGUACCCGAAGUCCGUUUAGCCAACUGCAAAGAGGCGACGGCCGACGGUAAGCCCGAUGACUGGGACU
rnacentral:rRNA from 1 species